AGGUUGAAGGUUGGGUAACACUAACUGGAGGACCGAACCGACUAAUGUUGAAAAAUUAGCGGAUGACUUGUGGCUGGGGGUGAAAGGCCAAUCAAACCGGGAGAUAGCUGGUUCUCCCCGAAAGCUAUUUAGGUAGCGCCUCGUGAAUUCAUCUCCGGGGGUAGAGCACUGUUUCGGCAAGGGGGUCAUCCCGACUUACCAACCCGAUGCAAACUGCGAAUACCGGAGAAUGUUAUCACGGGAGACACACGGCGGGUGCUAACGUCCGUCGUGAAGAGGGAAACAACCCAGACCGCCAGCUAAGGUCCCAAAGUCAUGGUUAAGUGGGAAACGAUGUGGGAAGGCCCAGACAGCCAGGAUGUUGGCUUAGAAGCAGCCAUCAUUUAAAGAAAGCGUAAUAGCUCACUGGUCGAGUCGGCCUGCGCGGAAGAUGUAACGGGGCUAAACCAUGCACCGAAGCUGCGGCAGCGACACUAUGUGUUGUUGGGUAGGGGAGCGUUCUGUAAGCCUGUGAAGGUGGCCUGUGAGGGUUGCUGGAGGUAUCAGAAGUGCGAAUGCUGACAUAAGUAACGAUAAAGCGGGUGAAAAGCCCGCUCGCCGGAAGACCAAGGGUUCCUGUCCAACGUUAAUCGGGGCAGGGUGAGUCGACCCCUAAGGCGAGGCCGAAAGGCGUAGUCGAUGGGAAACAGGUUAAUAUUCCUGUACUUGGUGUUACUGCGAAGGGGGGACGGAGAAGGCUAUGUUGGCCGGGCGACGGUUGUCCCGGUUUAAGCGUGUAGGCUGGUUUUCCAGGCAAAUCCGGAAAAUCAAGGCUGAGGCGUGAUGACGAGGCACUACGGUGCUGAAGCGACAAAUGCCCUGCUUCCAGGAAAAGCCUCUAAGCAUCAGGUAACAUCAAAUCGUACCCCAAACCGACACAGGUGGUCAGGUAGAGAAUACCAAGGCGCUUGAGAGAACUCGGGUGAAGGAACUAGGCAAAAUGGUGCCGUAACUUCGGGAGAAGGCACGCUGAUAUGUAGGUGAAGCGACUUGCUCGUGGAGCUGAAAUCAGUCGAAGAUACCAGCUGGCUGCAACUGUUUAUUAAAAACACAGCACUGUGCAAACACGAAAGUGGACGUAUACGGUGUGACGCCUGCCCGGUGCCGGAAGGUUAAUUGAUGGGGUUAGCGGUAACGCGAAGCUCUUGAUCGAAGCCCCGGUAAACGGCGGCCGUAACUAUAACGGUCCUAAGGUAGCGAAAUUCCUUGUCGGGUAAGUUCCGACCUGCACGAAUGGCGUAAUGAUGGCCAGGCUGUCUCCACCCGAGACUCAGUGAAAUUGAACUCGCUGUGAAGAUGCAGUGUACCCGCGGCAAGACGGAAAGACCCCGUGAACCUUUACUAUAGCUUGACACUGAACAUUGAGCCUUGAUGUGUAGGAUAGGUGGGAGGCUUUGAAGUGUGGACGCCAGUCUGCAUGGAGCCGACCUUGAAAUACCACCCUUUAAUGUUUGAUGUUCUAACGUGGGCCCCUUACCGGGGUUGCGGACAGUGUCUGGUGGGUAGUUUGACUGGGGCGGUCUCCUCCUAAAGAGUAACGGAGGAGCACGAAGGUUGGCUAAUCCUGGUCGGACAUCAGGAGGUUAGUGCAAUGGCAUAAGCCAGCUUGACUGCGAGCGUGACGGCGCGAGCAGGUGCGAAAGCAGGUCAUAGUGAUCCGGUGGUUCUGAAUGGAAGGGCCAUCGCUCAACGGAUAAAAGGUACUCCGGGGAUAACAGGCUGAUACCGCCCAAGAGUUCAUAUCGACGGCGGUGUUUGGCACCUCGAUGUCGGCUCAUCACAUCCUGGGGCUGAAGUAGGUCCCAAGGGUAUGGCUGUUCGCCAUUUAAAGUGGUACGCGAGCUGGGUUUAGAACGUCGUGAGACAGUUCGGUCCCUAUCUGCCGUGGGCGCUGGAGAACUGAGGGGGGCUGCUCCUAGUACGAGAGGACCGGAGUGGACGCAUCACUGGUGUUCGGGUUGUCAUGCCAAUGGCACUGCCCGGUAGCUAAAUGCGGAAGAGAUAAGUGCUGAAAGCAUCUAAGCACGAAACUUGCCCCGAGAUGAGUUCUCCCUGACUCCUUGAGAGUCCUGAAGGAACGUUGAAGACGACGACGUUGAUAGGCCGGGUGUGUAAGCGCAGCGAUGCGUUGAGCUAACCGGUACUAAUGAACCGUGAGGCUUAACCUU
rnacentral:rRNA from 1 species